rnacentral:rRNA from 1 species
UACGUAGGGGCAAGCGUUGUCCGGAAUCAUUGGGCGUAAAGAGCGUGUAGGCGGCUCGGUAAGUCCGCUGUGAAAGUCCAGGGCUCAACCCUGGAAUGCCGGUGGAAACUGUCGAGCUAGAGUCCGGAAGAGGCGAGUGGAAUUCCUGGUGUAGCGGUGAAAUGCGCAGAUAUCAGGAGGAACACCAAUGGCGAAGGCAGCUCGCUGGGACGGUACUGACGCUGAGACGCGAAAGCGUGGGGAGCAAACAGG